rnacentral:lncRNA from 1 species
UUUUUAUCCAAAAUGUGUUUAUUGAGAUGGUUUCCCACUCAUCUUGACUCAGAGUGCUUUUAGUGCUGCUUCCUCCUGAAGGAACAUCCUUCUGUAAGCCUUGCUUUUCCUCCUGUAGGCUGGCAGAGGACAGUGGAGCAGCCAACACACAAAACUACCGUUUGUGCAUGGCUAAAGACCGUGGUGAUUUUAUAGCAUCCUGGGCAUUUCACAUCCAUGAAGUAGGAAUUGGGGCUCUCCACCAGGCGUUUCUUCUUGUGUUUCCUCUUCUCCUCUUCUGGAGAGGGAUGAAGGAGAUCCUUUGCGAGAGGCAUGUUCUCGGGUGCGUAGGUCGUCACCGCCGGAAAGGCUACUAGACAGAAGUGGCAUGCCUUGUCUCAGAUGGGACUUUGAACUUGGACUUUUGGUUUAAUGCUGGAAUGAGUUAAGACUUUGAGGUACUGUUGGGAAGGCAUGAUUAUGUUUUGAAAUGAGAGAAAAAGACUUGGGAGGGGCCAGGGGCGGAAUGAUAUGGAGGCUUUGUGUUCCCACCCAAAUCUCAUCUUGAAUUGUAAUCCCCAUAAUCCCCAUGUGUCAAGGGAGGGACCUGGUGGGAGGUGAGUGGAUCAUAGGGGUGGUUCCCCCGAUGCUGUUCUUGUGAUAGUGAAUGAGUUCUCACAAGAUCUGAUGGUUCUAUAAGCAUCUGGCAUUUCCCCUGCUCACCCUUCUCUCUCUUAUUGCCAUGUGGAGAAGGUCCUUGUUUUUUCUUCACCUUCCACCAUGAUUGUAAGUCUCCUGAAGACUCGCCAGCCAUGUAGAACUGUGAGUCAAUUAACCUCUUUUCUUUAUAAAUUACUUAGUCUCAGGUAGUAUCUUUAUAGCACUGUGAGAAUGGAUGAAUACACGAAGAUCCCCCUUCUAGACACCAGAAUGUAUAAUCUUGGUGUCAACUGUUUAUCUCAUCAUAGCUAUAGAUGAACCCAUCUUUGGCUACUGAAUCUCCCCUGUAUUGCUGAACCUCCCUC